GGCCCAUUAGCUCAGUUGGUUAGAGCAUCGUGCUAAUAACGCGAAGGUUGCAAGUUUGAGACCUGCAUGGGACA